GCCGGUGUGGUGGAACUGGCAGACGCGCCGGACUCAAAAUCCGGUAAGGGCAACCUUGUGUGGGUUCGACUCCCACCACCGGCA
rnacentral:tRNA from 2 species